GGUAGCAGAGGGGAGGGGGAGGGGGUGGGUGAGGAAGAGAGUAUAAAAGGCAAAACUUGCUGGACUGUGCUUAGGAACAGUGUUUGUGGUUUCUAUUACAGAAAUGAAAUGUUCUCAGCUUUAUUACCCUUGAACUCUUUCUUACUCCUCAGCUGGUCAGCCCUUACCUUUCUCCUUCAAUCUCUCUCUCUCUCCUCAGAGAAAGUUCGGAGGUUUUAGGGUAGUCACUCAUCCAGUCAUCCUAGAGAACGCCUCCCUACGACGGUUGUUUGGGCCACCCCUUUCAUUGGCUGCGACAGAAAGGCGGUUUUUUUUUUUAUUCAAUUUGUUAUAAUAUUUUUAUGGUUCACUGGAGUUUUUGCUUUGUAUGCGUGUUUGUUGAUCUUGUUUUUUCGAAUUUGAUACAGAAAUUGAGCUGUAUAGACCUUGAUCGGGUACAAUUUGGUGUUACCUUUGAAGAUAUCAAACCCAAAUCAGCAACACAUCAUCGACAACCGCAACAAUGGAAAGAGGACAAAGCAACGGUGGCUGACCUGUGGGCGCGAUCAGGAGGAGCCGCAACAACGUCUAAGAAAAAGACGGAACAAGGACAGUGAAUAUGAAAGCAAGAAAUACAACACCUUAAAUUAAAUAAGCUCCUGUUUGAAGGAAUAUCGCUGAAUAUGGGUAUUAUUGCUGCUAGUUUUUUGAAGCUUGUUUGUGAUUACUCGCUGUAUGAGACUAGAGUAUUCAAUACCCACUUGAAAAAGAUGCUACAUGGAGCUGCCCACCUGAAGGUAUAAUUAAAAUAAAUGUUGACGCUCACUUUGGUGCUGGCACAAGUGGUGGUCUAGGUGCUGUUGCGAGGGAUCACUUUGGCCGCAUAUUAUGGGCUGCGGAUAAGAAGACUCCUAUGGACUGGAAUGUGGAAUUGGCGGAGGUGGCUGCUGUUAGGGUGUCAAAUGGCUAAGAGAUUGGGUUACGAAAGUGUAUGAUCAGGAGUCAAAAGGGAGUAGGGGAAGGGUAAUCAACACCAUUAGAGGGUCUGCUGCUAGAUGGUCUCCUAUAAGGCUUAUUUACGAUGAUGUACGUAGAAUAGUUAUGUCUUUUAAUACUUGUAUAUUUUCUCAUGUAAAAAGAGCAUAUAAUUAAUUAUACGGUUGCCCAUUUAGUGGCUAGGUGGGACACUAGUAAGUGCUCCGAGAAAGUUUGUAUGGGUUCUUUCCCCUAAGGUCUUCUAUCCUUCGCAGAACUUGACUUAAAUUAAUGAAAUGCUCUAAGUCAGUGCUUGGUA